CACCUCUCCUUGUUCUUUCCCGCCUAUAUACCGCCGUCGUCAGCUUACCCUGCAAGGGACUCAAAGUAAGCAAAAUUGGUUAACCCCCCAAAACGCCAGGUCGAGGUGUAGCGCAUGGAGAGGGAUGAGAUGGGCUACAUUCCAUCCCACAUGGCAUACGAAUGGCAGACUGAAACGUCAGCCUGAAGGAGGAUUUAGUAGUAAGUGAGAAAUAGAGUGUCCCACUGAAUCCGGCCCUGAAGCGCGCACACACCGCCCGUCACUCUCCCCGAAUAAAAAUCUUCUAUCUCUAAUACAACAUAAUCACGUAAGGGGAGGCAAGUCGUAACAUGGUAAGUGUACCGGAAGGUGCACUUGGACAACC
rnacentral:rRNA from 1 species